rnacentral:rRNA from 1 species
ACCCAACCACAAACUUAAACAACAUCCCACUAUAUUGUUCGCCAGAGUACUACAAGCGCUAGCUUAAAACCCAAAGGACUUGGCGGUAUCCCACACCCACCUAGAGGAGCCUGUUCUAUAACCGAUAAUCCCCGUUAAACCUCACCACUUCUUGCCACUACCGUCUAUAUACCGCCGUCGUCAGCUCACCCUGUGAAGGAUUAAAAGUAAGCAAAAUGAAUACAACUCCAAAACGUCAGGUCGAGGUGUAGCAAAUGAAGUGGAAAGAAAUGGGCUACAUUUUUUUAUUAAAACAUACGAACGGUAAACUGAAAAAAUACCUAAAGGUGGAUUUAGCAGUAAAAAGAGAUUAGAGUACUCUUCUGAAAUUGGCCCUGGGAUAAGC